GUACACCUAGCUCAGCGGAAGAGCAACGAGCUUCUACCUCGUAGCGCCGGAGUUCGAAUCUCCGGGGGCGUGCCG
rnacentral:tRNA from 1 species